AACUCCGGUCCUGUCCCAUCCGGCCCACACACUCAGCCAGUCCCUGGUCCUGUCCCAUUUCUGAGCCAAGGCCUCCCUAACACAGACUGGGAUGGCCUGUGUGUGCUGUGUGUCCCUGCAGGGACUUCGCAGGAGCCAGCAGGUGGCCGGAGGCAGGGGUAGCCGCGUGCCUGUGGGCUGCUUUUUUGGCUCCAGUCAGCAGCAGCGUGGUGAUUCCAGGCAGAGCUUUGGUAAAGCUACUCCUGUGCUUCCUGUAGGCAUCACGAAGGAAGAGAGUGUAUUUGGAGAGACUGGUGCAAGGCUCCCCACACACACCAGCCCCAUCCUGCUACCUGAAACCCAGACCGCGCCACCCCCUUGCCAUCCGUCCACCUUACCAGGUAGAAUCUCCCGGCCCAGAGAGCAGAGCCGCCUGUGUCAGAGCCUGCGUCACUUGUCACAAACCCCAGCAGGCAGCACUGAACACUGAAGGGCUGUGGAGGGGCGGGGGCUCUGAGGCUGAGAGGACCCCUGCAUCCCUGUGUCCUGGGCACAGCUCCCCUCCCUCCUGCAACCUUAAGCCAUCACUAGAUUGCUCCAGAGCCUGGUCGGGUGUUAAUCUGUCCCCAGUUCUAUCCACUCAUGUGCUUCCUUUGAAAACUCAAUGUGACUGAGAGCUCUUACUGUAGAUAUAGCUCUGCGAACCUGAAUCGUUUUCUUUUGCUGUGUUCUUUCAGAUGAAAUAUCUAUAAAUAUCUAUACAUUAUAUAUAUAUAUGUAUAUGUAUAUUGGGUCCUCCCGUGUGUGGUUUUCAGUGGAGGUUGUCUGGUCGAGGUGAACUUUUACUGAAAUUUAUUCUUUCCCUCUCUGUACAAAGUGAAGAGCCUAAUUUUGUGUAUUCUGGUGGCUGGUGUCAUGAGACUUUGAGAUGACAAAACGUAAAACAAAUAAAACCCUUGUCAACAAAGAAAGCGUUAACUGU
rnacentral:lncRNA from 1 species